rnacentral:rRNA from 1 species
AGGGAAUCUUCCGCAAUGGACGAAAGUCUGACGGAGCAACGCCGCGUGAGUGAUGAAGGUUUUCGGAUCGUAAAGCUCUGUUGCCAGGGAAGAACGUCUUCUGGAGUAACUGCCAGGAGAGUGACGGUACCUGAGAAGAAAGCCCCGGCUAACUACGUGCCAGCAGCCGCGGUAAUACGUAGGGGGCAAGCGUUGUCCGGAAUUAUUGGGCGUAAAGCGCGCGCAGGCGGCUGGUUCAGUCUGGUGUUUAAUCCUGGGGCUCAACCCCGGGUCGCACUGGAAACUGGACGGCUUGAGUGCAGAAGAGGAGAGUGGAAUUCCACGUGUAGCGGUGAAAUGCGUAGAGACGUGGAGGAACACCAGUGGCGAAGGCGACUCUCUGGGCUGUAACUGACGCUGAGGCGCGAAAGCGUGGGGAGCAAAC